GGCAAUUUCAUCACCAUUGAUUGCUGAAAACUUAUCCAAAUUCGAGAGGUGAACCUGAGGUCCCUAUCUGAUACCAUUGUCACCAGAACUCCAUGUAGCCUGACUAUCUCCCAAAUAUAGAUUCUUAGUAGCUAGUCCAAGGGGUCAGUCAUUUUGAUGGCCAGAAAAUUAAAGAAUUUAGUGAGUUGGUCAACAAUUA
rnacentral:lncRNA from 1 species